rnacentral:misc_RNA from 1 species
GUGAAGAACGUAGCGAAAUGCGAUAAGUAGUGUGAAUUGCAGAAUUCCGUGAAUCAUCGAAUCUUUGAACGCACAUUGCGCCUUCUGGUAUUCCGGAAGGCAUGCCUGUUCGAGAGUCAUUAACAACCGUUUCGAUCCCUUUCUUUCAGAAAUUACAAAGAGGAAAAGGGUUUGGUUAUGGUGGAGGAGGGAAAGGGAGCGUUUAGCCUGUAAAAAAAGAGGCUGUGUUCCGCCUCCCCCCCAAAAUUGUACAGGCGGUCGUGUGCGCCCACGCAUCGAGGUGUUGUAAAAGCUGCCACGGCACUUUUCACCUGUGCAGUGCGAGAUUGGCCAGCCGGUUUAAAAACCCCUCCAAACAAUCAAAGGUUGACCUCGGAUCAGGUAGGGAUACCCGCUGAACUUAAGCAUAUCAAUAAGCGGAGGA